rnacentral:rRNA from 1 species
UACGUAGGGGGCAAGCGUUGUCCGGAUUCAUUGGGCGUAAAGCGCGUGUAGGCGGCCAGGUAGGUCCGACGUGAAAACUGGGGGCUCAACCUCCAGCUGUCGUUGGAAACCAUCUGGCUAGAGUCCGGAAGAGGAGAGUGGAAUUCCUGGUGUAGCGGUGAAAUGCGCAGAUAUCAGGAAGAACACCAAUGGCGAAGGCAGCUCUCUGGGACGGUACUGACGCUGAGACGCGAAAGCGUGGGGAGCGAACAGG